ensembl:miRNA
UUGCUGUGGGGGAGAGGGGGAAGACGGGAGGAAAGAAGGGAGUGGUUCCAUC